GCAGCAGUAGGGAAUAUUGCACAAUGGACGAAAGUCUGAUCGAGCAAUACCGCGUGAGUGAAGAAGGCCUUCGGGUUGUAAAGCUCUUUUGUUAGGGAAGAACAACUAUCGGAGUAUCUCCCGGUGCUUUGACGGUACCUAACGAGUAAGCCCCGGCUAACUUCGUGCCAGCAGCCGCGGUAAUACGUAGGUGGCAAGCGUUAUUCGGAAUUAUUGGGCGUAAAGCGUGCGCAGGUGGUUCUUUAAGUCUGAUGUGAAAGCCCCGGGCUCAACCGGGGAAGGUCAUUGGAAACUGGGGAACUUGAGUGCAGUAGAGGAUAGUGGAAUUCCAGGUGUAGCGGUGAAAUGCGUAGAGAUGUGGAGGAACAUCCGUGGCGAAGGCGGCUACCUGGUCUGUAACUGACGCUGAGGCGCGAAAGCGUGGGGAGCAAACAGGAUUAGAUACCCUGGUAGUCCACGCCGUAAACGAUGCG
rnacentral:rRNA from 1 species